GGUUUUUGUAAUUUAAGAGUGAUGUAAGGAAUCUAUUUUUCACGCAAAAUGGUGCGUUUUAUUCUAAUAGAGCGCAGAGACCGGCUGAUUCGCUGCGUGCAAGGUCGUCCUUGGGUUAUUCACGGCAACACGCGGUUCGGCGAAAAAUUUUACUAAAGGUGAAGUUACUGACUUGUGCUAUCGACA